rnacentral:lncRNA from 1 species
UUGAGAGCACUUGCUUUCACCAAUAACCGCUGGGGAAAAUGAGAUACUCUCAGUUUUAGAAUAUUCUAACCUAGAAAUGCCAAGAGUUAGUUCAAAUAUAAAACUAAUACAACAUGAAUCAAGGACAGAGUGUACUGGGCCAGCCACCUAGUUGAAAGGACUUGAUUCCCAGCCAACACACAAUCUCUCUGUGAUGCUUUCCUUGGGAGAUGAAGUCACUGGGAUGUUUUCCUGGUCCCCUACAACUCUAAAAUCCCAUGCCACAUGACAAACACAAAGUUUACAGGAUAUUACUGUCAAUAAAAUAUAAAUGCAAAUGAACUAGAAAAUUAGUUUUCUGUUUAUUAGUUUAGGUGAAGCCUAAGCCUAAUUUUUAACUGUCUAUAAAAUGAAAGAAGUCUAAAAAACUGACCAAUAACAAUUUGAUUUUCUGACUCUUAAGAAAUUGGACCAUAUUUUAAUUGUGAAAAAUGGUAGCAACUUUCUAAAUGGAAGCUGAAUUAGAGCUAUAGAGCUAGCAUGCAUGUACAUUCUGCUUUGACCUGGGUUCCUCUGGGUUUUUACAUGCUGUGGCUAUUGCUGCUUUCUUAGAGCAUCGGGGCACUGGCCUCACUGCUGUGAUAUAUUUAUUCAUGACAUGAUGGAGGCUGAAGGGUGUGAAAACUGUGCCCUGCAUGUAUUUGAUCUCUUUCUUGUCUGUUGUGCCUAGUGUGCCCUGUAGGUAACUGGUCUGCAGCAGAGCCCUGGGAGGCUGUUUCCACUGAUGGCAUGUCUUAACAAACAGCUUGCAGACUACGCUCAGAAAAGCUCGCCUGAGCAGUCAGGGGGCUCUGCCUGUGGGCUUGCUGUGUCUGAAGACCCAAGGGAGUCCAAAUAGAGAUGAGUCAGGACCUGACACCACCCUGGAGCUCCGUCUUACUGCUCAACAGAACUUUUAUUUGUUGUCACUUGGAAUCUCUCUGGGUCUCCAGGAAGAAACAAAUACUUUAGAAGCCAAAACCCCAAGGACAAGCCUUCAUCUACGGCUUCUCUGCUCUGGAGGGACUGACUCUUUUGCUCCAGAUCUGCUUCAAUCAGGAAGGGAGGAGAGAGGAGGAAAGGGAGGAAGGGGAGACUAUUAAGGGAGGGAGGGAAUAAACUCCUUGCUGUUAUCUGGUCUUCUCCUCCC